rnacentral:lncRNA from 1 species
GUAGAACUUAGCUUCUUCACCGGUUUUUAGUGAAACUCUACCAAAGGGGCAAUUUCAAAACGGCUCCAUCAUCGAAGCUGAGGAGAAGCCACAAAAUGGCUUACACUAGAGAAGGAGGUGAAAGAAUUAUAGUAGAUUGGUAAACAUGGCUACCUUACCCGGCUCGCCAUCGGUUCCGUGUUUAUAUAGGGAUAAUCCCCCUCAAGAGUACAUGUUGUUUACAAUCGUAAUUAGCAAGGGUACUCGGUCUCUAUUACAUAUAUCUCUAUCUCUAUGCCGAGUCCAAGCUGACUACGAAUACCAGUCCCAGGCGCAUAUGCAUGUUAUACACUCCAUGCAUAUUACGUUUUACAUAAGCCGAACCUAUCUGCUGUUCUAACAGCCUCCCGCAAUCUCAACUGAUCUUGCUUGUCAGGUUGAGAUUGUUUCGAAACUCUAUGAAUUUCUGAGUUGCCAACGGCUUUGUAAAUCCAUCUGCCACUUGAUCUCUAGAAGGAAUGAACCGAAUCUGCAACUGCUUCCUGGUAACCCUUUCUCUCACAAAAUGAAAAUCAAUCUCGAUGUGUUUUGCCCUUGCAUGAAACACUGGAUUAGCUGAGAGAUAAGUGGCUCCAAGAUUAUCACACCAUAAGCACGGAAUCUGAGCUAUCCGCACACCUAGUUCUUGCAACAACGCUUCCACCCAUAUAAGUUCAGCAGUAGCAUUCGCUAAUGACUUAUAUUCAGCUUCCGUGCUUGAUCUUGACACAGUAGGUUGCUUUCUAGCGCUCCACGAUAUUAUGUUAGGUCCAAGGAAUAUUGCAAAACCACCGGUAGAUCUUCUGUCAUCAAUCGAGCCUGCCCAAUCUGCAUCCGAAAAUGCACUAAGCAGAGUUGAAUCGGAAGGUCGAAUAGUUAAGCCAACGUCCAUAGUUCCUUGAGUGUAUCGCACGAUCCUCUUUACUGCACUCCAGUGAGCCGUAGUUGGAGCAUGUAGAUACUGACAGACUUUAUUUACUGAGUAUGUGAGGUCAGGCCGGGUGAGAGUCAGGUAUUGCAAUGCUCCUACUAUGCUCCUGUACCGCGUCCCAUCUUCUAGUGACAAUGGCAUGCCAUCUUCCCCUCACAAUUUUUCUGUUGCAGACAAUGGAGUAGGUGCACUUUUGCACUUCAGCAUGCCAACCCUUGUCAAAAUAUCGGACGCAUAUUUCCCUUGCGAAAGCUGCAAACCACCAUUCACCUUUUUUACUUCGAUGCCAAGGAAGUAAUUCAGAUCUCCUAGAUCCUUCAGGGCAAACUCUUCUCGAAGUUUGUUGAGUAAAUCAGUCACGGCUUGAGGAGAGGAACUUGUAACAAUUAUAUCAUCCACAUAAAUGAGCAUGUAUAUAGUGAUGUUUCCACUAGAGUAUAUAAAGAGGGACGUAUCUGAUUUUGAUGGUCGAAAUCCAAGCGCGCAUAACUUUGUGCUCAACCUUGAGUACCAAGCUCUCGGAGCUUGUUUUAAUCCAUACAGUGCCUUGUCCAGCUUGCAAAUGUAGUUAGGCUUUGACUGAUCUUUGAAACCUGGUGGUUGCUUCAUGUAAACCUCUUCUUCCAGAACACCAUGAAGAAACGCGUUCUUCAUAUCUAAUUGUCGUAAGCACCAGCCCCUUGAUACUGCAAUAGACAAUACCAAUCUUAUUGUAGCAAUUUUAACCACAGGACUAAAAGUGUCUUCAUAGUCGAUCCCAUAUCUUUGCUUAAACCCUUUUGCGACUAAUCGAGCUUUGUAGCGAUCAAUACUCCCAUCAGAUUUCCUCUUUAACUUAUACACCCAUUUGCAGUCUAUCAAAUUUAUGUCUUGCCUUGGAGGAACAAGAUGCCAGGUGUUGUUCUUGUGUAAUGCCAUUAUCUCUUCUUCCAUCGCAUUAGUCCACUUUGGAUUGCUCAGAGCUUCAGCAAGAUUAUCAGGUUCCCCUGUCGAACAGUAGCUGGAGUAUAGAAUUGUUCCAUCUGUGAAAAAUUUUAGCUUAAAAACCCCACUUUGUGAUCUCAUGUUUGGGCGAGCAGCUGCUGAGGUCGCAAGUUCGGGCACAACGUUGCCAUCCGCACGCGAUCCAGGUUCUGCCGUGGAGGAUCGUACGGAGGUGGAGCCUCCCGCGCUCCCGUCAGCCAGCCCGGGCUCGACACGCCCAUGUCGUGACGCGGGAUGACUCCGCGCGCUACCAGCUGGCACUGGCGCUGCACCGCUGCUGCUGUCGCCAGGUGUUGCCGCCGCCGAAUCCGCAUUGCCUUCCGUGCCAGAUGCUGUUGGAAAAUCCUCCUGGAUUUCAGCGCCCGUGUCUCUAUCCAGAAACAGAGAAUUUUGCUGCUGCUGUCUGUUUUGAGUUGGGUUUUCACCGGCGAUUGCUCCUUCGUGAUCCUGCACACCAAUCACAUCACUAGAAGGCAUGUCAAGGUUAUGGUCAUCAGUAAUUAUUGGUUCAUUGCUAUUUGCUCCCCCCGGAUUGGUGGCAUAAAGAUCUUCAGAAAGGAGUAAAAUUUCUUGUCGAAGAUGAGCUCCUGCAUUCUCAUGUAGCAUCUCAAAAGGAAACACGGCCUCGUCAAAGUUAACAUCGCGCGAGAUAUACACACGCCCUGAUGAGAUGUCUAAGCAUUUGAAGCCUUUAUGGAGGGGACUAUAACCAAGGAAGGCACAUCGCGUAGAACAGAAGGAAAGCUUCUUAUUGUUGAAGGGUCGUAAAUUGGGCCAGCAGGCACACCCAAACAUACGCAAGGACAUAUAGUCAGGUUCUUCUUGGAGGAGGAGCUCAGUUGGGGUGUGAAGAUUAAGGACCUUGCUAGGCAGAAGAUUGAUGAGGUGUGUGGCUGUGAGGAACGCUUCGUCCCAAAACUUUAAUGGCAUGGAGGCUUGUGCGAGGAGAGCGAGGCCAACGUCGACGAUGUGACGAUGCUUUCUCUCGGCCGUGCCAUUCUGUUGAUGAGCAUGAGGGCAAGAGACACGAUGAGAGAUCCCUAUCUGUUUAAAGAAGGUAUUUAGCUUCUCAUACUCGCCACCCCAAUCAGUUUACAUGGAUAAAAUCUUUCGGCUAAACUUUCUUUCUACGAGUUGCUGGAAGUCACGAAAGACAGCAAAGACAUCAGAUUUUUGUCGAAGAAGAUAUAUCCAGGUGUACUUGCUAUAGUCGUCAAUAAAGUUCACAUAGUAGUUGUACCGCCCUACAGAUGUAGGUGCAAGACCCCAGACGUCGGAGUGAAUUAGAGCAAGCGGAAUGGUAGAGAUGUUCUGAGACUUGGAGUAGGGAAGUUGAUGGCUCUUGGCACGCUGACAAGAAUCACAAACGGAUGUGGUACUAUCAUCAUUAAUAAAGGGAAGAUCAUUAUUUUUUAGGACAUGAGUAACAAUGGGAAGAGCAGGAUGUCCUAGGCGACUAUGCCAUUGCUUAAUGGAUGGCCUACUUAUUACAAAAGAUUGUUUUCUCCAACUAUUAUCUAGGGAGCUCGGCACCAAAGGGUAAAGACCACCCUCACAUCUUCUUGAUGUAGAAUUCUCCUCGUUGCCCGGUCCUUAAUAAGGAAAAAAGUGGGAUGAAAUUCAAAAUAAGCAUCAUUAUCACGAGCUAAACGGUGAACAGAAGCAAGAUUUUUGUUAGCUGAUGGGACAUGGAGGACAUCUUUUAGAAGGAGGUUUCGAAUUGGGGAUUGCAAAAUAGAAUAACCAAUAUUACUAAUGCUCAUACCUGAACCACUAGCAAUGUGAACUUGAUCACGGCCGCCAUACUUCUCCCGAACAGUCAUCUUGUCGAGGUCCGAAGUAAUAUGAUCAGUUGAUCCACUGUCCACAUACCAAUUUGUAUCAACACCAUAGUAUGUAGCAUUGGCAGCUGUUUUGUUGCUCACGUUGGGCUGAAAAUCCUCCUCAAACCUGUGCCAGCACUCAAGAGCUGAAUGGUUUGGUUUAUCACAGAUUUGGCACCUUGGCUUUGAGGUACCUUGCCCGUCGAACCUCAGGUUGGUGGACUGAUUUUGUCGUCCACCAGUACCUCGACCUCCUCGGCCUCCACGUCCACGAAAUCCUCCUGAUCGACCACGAUUAAAGUUGCUGCCUCCACCGCGACCACGGGACGAAGAGAAGUUUGCUGAAGAUUGGUACUGUCCACCUUGGUUUUGCAGCAUCUCAAGUCUUGUUUCAUACGACAUUACUUGGGCAUAUAAUUCAGACAAGGGAAUUGGAUCCAACCUUCCCAUAACCGAAGUCACAAUUGGAUUAUAGUCCGCAUCUAAUCCGGUGAGUAUGAAGGAGACCAUCUCAUCAUCUUCUAUUUUCUUGCCAGCGGCUGCCAAUUCAUCACCUAGAGCCUUCAUCUUGUUGAAGUAUUCAGAUGUACUCAUACUUCCUUUCUUCAAAGUAGAAAUCUGCAUGCGUAGGUUUGUCACUCUCGCACGCGAUUGCGCUGAGAACAUUGUCUCUAGCGCCGCCCAAACAGCAGCUGCAGAAUCCAGCGUCGCAACUUGGCCCAACACAUCUUUCGAAACUGAAUUAAAAAGGAACGCAAGCACCUGCUGGUCUUGAGCAAGCCAUGCUGAAUAUGCUGGAUUGACGUGGAUCUCUUUCAUCUUGUCGUCCCUCACAACUUCUAUGGUCGUUGACGGCGACUUGAAGGAUCCAUCAAUGAUCCCCAUGAGCUAAGCGCCUCUAAUGGGGGGAAGGACUUGCGCCUUCCAAAGGACAUAGUUGUCCCGGGUGAGCUUCUCGGUAACUUGUGGCCCUAGGGGCGCAACAGAGGGGGCGCCGAAUGAUGACGCCAUAAUCGAGGCUAGCAAUUAGAUGUAUUGGAAGAAGAUAGCUCUAAUUACCAUGAAAGAAUUAUAGUAGAUUGGUAAACGUGGCUACCUUACCCGGCUCGCCAUCGGUUCCGUGUUUAUAUAGGGAUAAUCCCC